ACGUCACAAAAACAUAAUUUUUAUAAUUUUCAAAUUUUGAUCACAUAACAUGAAAGAUCUUCAUAAAAUACUCCCAUAUAUGGAAAAUCAGUUAAAUUGAUCAAAAAUCGGGUGAGCUAUGGCCAAUAGAAGAUUUCAGCCAAUUUGUAAUACUUUUAACUAUAUUUGCAGAUUUAGGGGUAUUUCAUGAUGCUCUUUCAGGUUAUGGGAAAAAAUUCUAAAAAUAUAUUUUUGUGACGUUAUCACUUGACAACUCUAUUGCAAAUCCACUAAUCGUUAACGACAGAAAAUGCCUUGAAUUGUUUCUCUACUGUCAUUUGGCACCAUUUUGGGAUUAUGCACAGGUUUAAAUUUCUUCAAACAAAGAGCGGCUAAAAUUGCGAAUUUUUAAGAAGGAUAGCCCUUCUGACCACUCCAAAGGGAAAUAAACUCAAGUACAGGUCAUAAAAUGAGAUUCUAGAAAGCCUAUAAACUGAACUGUACAUGAACAAUGCACGAAGAUUCUAUGUCUUUUAUUUUUACACUCCUGGUUUAAUACCAUUUCAAGUUCUUGUGGCCGAAUCAGAAACAAAUUAUUCGCCUUUUUGGUCCGCAUUUUAAGCUUCGCCUGAAUAGAACAAUAUCAUUUGUCUCUAAUUCACGUGAGUAAUUGAUGACGAACAAAAACGCCAACAGGACACUUCCAAUUGUUCAAAAGCUUUUGUUUUUCCUGGCAAAUAAUCUAGGACAUGGUGAUUUGGAGCACGGGCCAUCUUCCAAAUAAUACGAGGAAAUAAAACUGCAGACACAAGUGCAACAUCCCAGACAGAGACAUUAGUUGUAUACCUUAUUAAGCACAUGUGAUGUCCGGACACUACCAUACACCGGUUAACCUUCAGGAAAAAUGACGGGGUGUGACCGAGGGACAAAUCACUCCAAGAAUAUCUCGUACACUUUUUGUGAAAAUCCUAUUGUUUUAUCUGAAAAUCCCUGGAAAUCCUUUUGUAUUAGGGAAAAUCUCGUACGCUAUUUGCAAGAGUGAAUUGCCCCUCUGGUGUGCCUGCCAGAAAACAUAUUAUGACCCUGUCCUGAAAUGAAAUUCUGAAGACAUGAUACCUGGAAACAUGAUUUCUUCAAUUGGCAUACCAAUGCCGGAAAAUAUAAAUUAGAGAAAAGAUAUAAUACUGUCUUAGAAUUUUCAGCUGAAAAUGACACCCUGAUGGCAGGCAGGGACAUCCCAGUAUAGUCAGUGUAUUAAGUGAACCCAAAGAUUAGAAACAAAAAAAAACACGUAAGGCUGAAAUUAUGCAGAAAAUUGGAAACGCCAGGUAGAAACUGGAGCCAAGUGUUUGUAUAAAAAGCCAUUAGUAUGGAUCUUACCCUGCCAAAUUGAGAUAGAACUGCCCGAAUGUGAUCUGAAAGAGGGUCUGAAAUGCGACAAAUUUUGACUGAUUAGAGGAGCUGUAGUCCUACCAGCGCCUAUCGGUAAACUGUUGUGAAACAGUGAACACCUCAAGCCCCUGUGCUAAAAAACCCUGGGAUAUCACCUAUCAAUAAACCUCCUUUAACCCUCACUGACUGUGUUUCUUGAAAUUGGCAUUUGAAACCAUUAUUUUAGUGUAUUGCACACCUUUCAAAGAAACUUAGACUGGGGACAUGGGACAAUUGCAAUGGUAAAACAAGAGCUUCGCCUCCAAUUUUUGGCAAACACAUCAAGGCUUUUCUUAUUUCAAUCCAUAAUCAUUUAGUGAUUGCAACAAUGUAGUGAGGCUCGGCGAAGCUCCUCCCGUUCAAAUUACCGCAGGCCUCAAAAGAUCUUUGUCCCACAGUGGGCAGCACCGGCAGCACUGAUCAGUGACAGGCAGUCAUUCUAAAGUCAUUAGCUCAGCCUCUCAUUAAUAGAAAUCAGCCUCUCAUUAACAUUAACGUAGGGACGUCAAUGAGGGACGUAUUUGCGGAUGACCGCAAACUUAAUGAAAGGUUUUUGCCAAGUGAGGGCAGAAAACUGCGGAUUUUUUUGUAAAGAAGGAACCUUAAAAAACUUUUAAUACUCAAAAGGAAUCAGAUAUAAAGAAACUUGAAAAUUGAGAUGCUAGGUUUCCUAUAAAAACUUGUAGUCUAAUUUUUGUCUUCCUUUAAGCAAAAUGCAAAAAGUUAAUCAGAGUUACAAACAAUCGAAAGACAGAUAUAUAAUCUAUAAUUGAAAUUGCAAUAGGCUGGUUUUUUUGUUUUAAAUUUCUUUCAAAUGAUAGGGUGGCUGCAGAGUAUGUGUCUUUUCUUAUGAAAUUAAAAGUUGGUUUGGAAAUGGGCUGUUGUUAUUUUGAAUUUCAAGUACGAAUUAGGACUACUAGAGCAUCAAGACAAAUCGUUUAAAAAUACAAGUUGUUCCCGCUUUGUAAUUUUCUCCGAAAGUACCACUUUCUGGAAGCUGGGCGCAUACAUACAUACAUACAUACGGCGCUGUUUGCAAGAAAACAAAAAACUGUUUGCAUCUAACUUUCUGAAUCCAUCGAAGCUUUAAAAUUUCCUUUUU